AGUGCUUCAGAGGAAAACAACAACGAGCUUUUCUCUCCUCUCUGGGGAUCCUGGUCAGCUUCACAUUGGUGGCCCAGAAAUCAGUCUCAGCCCCUCCCAGUAUGGACCGCUCCUUGACAGCCGCCCUCUCUCCUAUAAAGGCAGAUGCAAGCUACGUUUGUGUGGGGAUGACACAGCACAAAGGCCCUUGCCAGAUGUGAGCCCCUUGAUAUUGGAUUUCCCAGUCUUCAGAACUGUCUGCUGAGAACAGACCCAGUCCCUGAGGAAGGAGAAGAUGUUGCUGCCACGAUCAGUGCCACAGAGACCCUCUCGGAAGAGGAGCAGGAAGAGCUAAGAAGAGAACUUGCAAAGGUAGAAGAAGAAAUCCAGACUCUGUCUCAAGUGUUAGCAGCAAAAGAGAAGCAUCUAGCAGAGAUCAAGCGGAAACUUGGAAUCAAUUCUCUACAGGAACUAAAACAGAACAUUGCCAAAGGGUGGCAAGACGUGACAGCAACAUCUGCUUACAAGAAGACAUCUGAAACCUUAUCCCAGGCUGGACAGAAGGCCUCAGCUGCUUUUUCGUCUGUUGGCUCAGUCAUCACCAAA
rnacentral:lncRNA from 1 species